rnacentral:lncRNA from 1 species
CGGCCGCCCUGAGCGAGGAGCCGACUGCGGCCUCCGCGACCCCUCCCGCAGCUCCGCCCACCUCCCCACCCUACGGGUCCCCGGGGGAGAGCGGAGCAGCUGGCCAAUGAGGGUGCGGGCAGUUCGAAAGGCCGAGGUGCUGCGCCUCUCCCAGGACCUUAUGCUCCGCACGAAACCUGGCAGCCUACGCUUAAUGCGAUUUCCCGGCUGUCUUCCGACAGCCAAGAGCAUGCAAAGCGGCUGUCAACAUGCAGACCAGCUCUGAACGGCACCAAGUAGGAUCAGAGAAGGCCCAGGCAGUGUGAAGGGACAGGAAAUACACCUGAGGAGUAGCUUUCAGAGAAGUGCCUGAGCCUUUCGGUACAUGGAUCCUCUUCCCAUUUGCACCUUUGGAAAAAAUACGCAUUCGCCAUUGCUCCGUGCCCGCGGCCUGGAGGUUCCUGGUUUCACCCUCAAGUACUAAACAUACAAACUGGGCCGUAUACUGGAGGCAUGGAGCGCAGCUCUAAUGAAACCAGUCUGUCGAUGGCCGAUGUUGCUCAAACGUCCAGCUUAGUCCUGCCCACCCACCUCCUGGUAGCCGUGGAGACUUCUCCUCCACCUUGUAGUCCCCCAUUGUCCAUUCGUCUGUUCCCUGCUUUGCUCUCAGUAAAUACUUAAACAGAGGCCUUUCAGCGGGAGGGUUAGCCGGGGCGCUGGGGUCUGCAGGUCCCACAGGACCUGCCUGUCCAGCAAACCCAGUGGGUCUGGCCUUCGUGCGCUACUUGAUUUGUGGAGCAGCCUGGAGAAGUCGGAGGAAAAUGAAAUUUAUUUGUAGUCAGUGUGUUAGCUUUCAAUUGCUGUGACAAAGCAUCUAAGAAAAUCAACUUACAAGAGGACAGGUUUAGUUUGGCUCCUGAUUUCAGAGGUUCCAGUGUGUUACGGCUUAGAAGUGUGCACCGUGACUCUCCUGUAUUUGGAAGGUCGGGUUGGUGUUAUGCUUGUCCGUGGAUUCAUCCAUUUGAGGAGUUCAGCAACUGAAUGUGCUGUCAGGAGGUGGGGCCUGGGCCCAGGUGGCCAAGAGGGGCGUGACCUGGAAGGGCGUGUUCUUGUGCACAGCUCUCCCUUCUCUGCCUCCUGCUGCUGUGGGGUGAGCACCUUUCCUCUGCCAGGGCCUUCGACGGCGCUGUUUGUUUUGGAGCCUACCGACCAUGGCCGGAAACUGUAGGGCGAAAUAAACCUUUGCUUCUAUAAAUUGUGGGUGUGUGGCGUUGCGUAUCAGUGACAGGAAAGUAACCAAGACAGUUCAGGGUUGGCUGGCUCUGUUUGAGGGGCAGCGCAUCACGGCGGGGAACGUGGAGGAACAAAGCUGUUCCCCUCCCUGCGACCGGGAAACAACUGGGGGCAGCGUCCCAGUAUUCCCUUCCGGGUCACACCUGACUUCCGGGGUUUAACUUCCUGCCAUUUGGCCCCACUUUCUGAAGGUUCCGCGACCCACCCAGCUUGGCGACCAAACCUUUAACGUAGGAGCCUUUGAGCCUUUGAGGGAGAGAGGAUUCAAGUCCUGCCAGUCAGCAAACAGGAAUAAAGGGGAAGCAGGAAAGACGAGAGGUGCUGGCGCAGGUCGGCGUUCACAGCAGCUGAGGCCUGUUUGGCCAAGCUCCAUAAUAACCCAGAGAAGACACCCAAAUAAUCUGGAGAGCUGUGUUUUUCUCUGUCAGUUUAGGACUGACCGCUUGGCCAAGGAAACAGGUGGAGGAAGCAGGCCAGGGAAGGCUCUGCCAGCCCGACGAAGCAGAUAGGGCCGAGUCUGAAACCCAGGCCGAGCUGAAGUUGCAGUUAGUGUGGAAAUGAAGAUCUUUCAGAAGAGAGGACGUUCCCAGAGCUUGUUCUCUGUUGUCUCGCCGUCUCUUGGCUCCACCCAGACAGCCCCUUGGCUCGCAGACUGUGGCUCCCCAGCGGGACGGCGGGCAGCCUCCCUAACCUUCUCCUGUAAGGCAGAGAGAAGAGGACGACAUGCUCCCCUCGGAACCCACACGCCGCAGCAGAGUUUGCUGCAGACCCCCAAAGCCAAAUCGCGGGGAGUCCUCGAUGGCAUUUCCGGGAGCUGCCACCACCUACCUAAAAAGCUGGUCUCUCUGCAAAGGCUGGAGAGCCGGAGCUAAAGUCAGAGGACUCAAGCUUGUCUACCUGUUGGGGUCAUAAAGAAGGGAUCAAACUCAGGACCUUGCGCUUGCAGGGCAGACACAGUGCCACUGAGCUAAAUCCCUGGUCCUGUAAUUCUUUGUCCCGAGUCAGACAGUAAGGUAUACAGUCGCUCUAAGGCUUCCUCUGGGCCGAGAUCCCUUCCGCCUGACACCUGCAGGCGUACGAAACGGCUGUGUAUGAGAACAGCUCGGAAGAGAAGAAGAGGAGACGCAGCCCGCGGAGGGCGAGGUGAACCACGGCAAGGCGAGGCUUCGUCCUCCUCCCCGCGUUCCAUCCCAUGCCGGUGUCCUGAUCUGAACAUCUGAAACAGCGCGAAGCACUUGCACAACGUGAUGUUCAGACUCAAGACAGCUUCAGGGAAAAAAAGAAGAAAAAAAAGAAACUCAGGAAUAAAGUGUCCCCUCUGAGACUGAAUGAGCUACACAUCUCGGCCCGCUGUGCCACAAAAGCUCCUAACUGUUUUAUCUGUACAGAUGGUUCUCAUUUGGUGUUGGUGGCACGACUCUGUGAGCAUAUUUGUUCCUGAUAAAACUGACUGAAGAACACAGGCUGAGCUCUGCAGUGAAGAGGACCUGCAAAUAUUCUCCACUCUGCAAUUAAACAUCACCCCUAACUUCAAACCUGCUCCCCCUACAUGCUGGGGAAACUCAGAGAGAAGCAGGGGCAGCAUUUGUAAGGGUUAUUUAGGGGACCAGAAGAGUGGGACGGGGGAAGGAAGGAAGUGAUUCUGCCUGUGGAAAUCCUUUCUCUGCUUGAAAAAAUAUCGCCGCACACAAAGACCAUAAACAGAGCCCCUGGAAGACUCCUCUGAGGAACUGUUUUGAAAGCUGGUCCAUGCUCCAGGUCAACAAGAAGGAAAGGGGCCUGGGCGUGGGGGUGACACAGCUCCCCUGUGGGGUGGCCGCCACCCGGCUCUGCUGCCUUUCCGCUCCGAAAACUUCCUCAAUCUGGGUCUCGCUUUUAGAUAAUAAACAUUUGUUAUCCUUGUCCUCGUUAGCUAAAUUUUAUAAGGAGGAAAAUAAGCUAAACAAAGCGAAGAAGUUGUAUACCUGAAAACCUAUCUGUACCCGGCCGGAAUGCAAGGAAGGAAAG